rnacentral:lncRNA from 1 species
AAAAGUUGAAAGACAAAAUACUGGAUGAACGCAUCCUUGUCCUUCUCAACAGCAUCCAGUUCCCGCUGCAAAACUUCUUUGAAACAAUUUGGUUUCAGAUCAGGAACAAAACAGUAAACAUUUAUUCCGAUCCUUCUACAAGUGCUUCAAGUCUCAUCAGUGAUUACUAUAGGACAGGUUGGUAAUUUCAAUUUAUAAUUGGUAAUACGUGCUAUCACUGCUGUCUCUGAGCUGCUGUUCUGUUUGGGACAGCUUGGGCUUUACAAGGCUUGCAGUUGCAGUUGGGUAUGAAAUUACAUGCUCCGCUAGGUUUUCAUGGCAGACUAGAAUAGAAUACUAUGCUUAAUUAUGCUAUACAUAGUUGAUCAAACUGCAGGGCAGGCAAGUUGGGGAGGGGAGAGGACUUGAAAUCAGUCAUUCCUUGCCUUGUUCUUAAGAAAUCCUUGCCUCACUUUCCUCCAUGCCCAUGUCUUGUCACAAACCCCAUAGAAGCUGCCCUCGGAGGCCUUGUGCUCAGCUUUUUGUCGUCGGUGGUGGCCAUACAAGACUGCUGCGGGCAAAAAAUUCUCUGGGAGCGGCUAUACUGCUUAAAUGUAUUUUAAUAUUUAACAAGUAUACCCGAG